GACGUAGGGCGCAAGCGUUUGUCCGGAUUAUUGGGCGUAAAGAGCUCGUAGGCGGCUUGUCGCGUCGACUGUGAAAAACCACGACUCAACCGUGGGACUGCAGUCGAUGACGGGCAGGGCUAGAGUUCGGUAGGGGAGACUGGAAUUCCUGGUGUAGCGGUGAAAUGCGCAGAUAUCAGGAGGAACACCGGUGGCGAAGCGGCCUGCUGGGCAGUUGCUGACACUGAGGCGACGACAGCGUGGGGAGCAAACAGG
rnacentral:rRNA from 1 species